UAAGGAAUAUUGGGCAAUGGACGCAAGUCUGACCCAGCCAUGCCGCGUGAAGGAAGACGGCCCUAUGGGUUGUAAACUUCUUUUCUCAGGGGGUAAACUCUGGAACGUGUUCCGGACUGAAAGUACCUGAGGAAUAAGCAUCGGCUAACUCCGUGCCAGCAGCCGCGGUAAUACGGAGGAUGCGAGCGUUAUCCGGAUUCAUUGGGUUUAAAGGGUGCGCAGGCGGAUAUAUAAGUCGGAGGUGAAAUUCUGAUGCUCAACAUCAGCCGUGCCUUCGAUACUGUAUAUCUAGAGUCAAGUUGGAGUAGGCGGAAUGUGUUGUGUAGCGGUGAAAUGCUUAGAUAUAACACAGAACACCGAUCGCGAAGGCAGCUUACUAAACUUUGACUGACGCUCAUGCACGAAAGCGUGGGGAUCAAACAG
rnacentral:rRNA from 1 species